CAGUCGCCGCGGUAAUACGAGGGGAGCUAGCGUUGUUCGGAAUUACUGGGCGUAAAGCGUGCGCAGGCGGUUGUGUAAGACAGGUGUGAAAUCCCCGGGCUUAACCUGGGAACUGCGCUUGUGACUGCACAGCUAGAGUAUGGCAGAGGGGGGUGGAAUUCCACGUGUAGCAGUGAAAUGCGUAGAGAUCGGAAGGAACAUCUGUGGCGAAGGCGACUAUCUGGGCCAACACUGACACUGAGGCACGAAAGCGUGGGGAGCAAACAGGAUUAGAUACCCCCGUAGUCCCUGUCUCUUAUAC
rnacentral:rRNA from 1 species